GCCAGUAUAACCUAGUGGUUUGGGCUUUGGACUAUAACUCUGGAGACCAGGGUUCAAUUCCCAGCUCAGCA